rnacentral:rRNA from 1 species
UACGAAGGGGGCGAGCGUUGUUCGGAGUUACUGGGCGUAAAGGGUGCGUAGGCGGCUCGAUAAGUAUGGUGUGAAAUCUCCCGGCUUAACUGGGAGGGUGCGCUAUAGACUGCCGGGCUAGAGGGUGGGAGAGGAAAGUGGAAUUCCUGGUGUAGCGGUGAAAUGCGUAGAUAUCAGGAGGAACACCGGUGGUGUAAACGGCUUUCUGGACCAUUUCUGACGCUGAUGCACGAAAGCGUGGGUAGCAAACAGG